AUUGAACGCUGGCGGCAUGCCUUACACAUGCAAGUCGAACGGCAGCACGGGAGCAAUCCUGGUGGCGAGUGGCGAACGGGUGAGUAAUAUAUCGGAACGUGCCCAGUCGUGGGGAUAACGUAGCGAAAGCUACGCUAAUACCGCAUACGAUCUAUGGAUGAAAGCGGGGGAUCGCAAGACCUCGCGCGAUUGGAGCGGCCGAUAUCAGAUUAGGUAGUUGGUGAGGUAAAGGCUCACCAAGCCGACGAUCUGUAGCUGGUCUGAGAGGACGACCAGCCACACUGGGACUGAGACACGCCCCAGACUCCUACGGGAGGCAGCAGUGGGGAAUUUUGGACAAUGGGCGCAAGCCUGAUCCAGCAAUGCCGCGUGCAGGAUGAAGGCC
rnacentral:rRNA from 1 species